UACCCAUGUCCAGGUUGAAGGCGGGUAACACCGCCGUGGAGGACCGAACUCACUCAAGUUGAAAAUUGAGGGGAUGAGGUGUGGGUAGGAGUGAAAGGCUAAUCAAGCUGGGAUAUAGCUGGUUCUCCCCGAAAUAUAUUGAGGUAUAGCCUCGGACGAAUUGCGACGCAGGUAAAGCACUGAAUGGGCUAGGGGUCCUACCAGAUUACCAAACCCAAUCAAAACUCUGAAUGGCGUUGACAAGUAUCCGGGAGUCAGGCUGCGGGAGAAUUUCCGUAGCCGAGAGGGAAAGAGCCCAGAUCGUCGGCUAAGGUCCCCAAAUUCGAGCUAAGUGUCAAAGGAUGUGGAAGCGCAUUGACAACCAGGAGGUUGGCUUAGAAGCAGCCAUCCUUUAAAGAAAGCGUAAUAGCUCACUGGUCAAGCGAAUCUGCGCCGAAAAUAUAACGGGGCUAAGCUCGAUACCGAAGCCACGGGCUUUCGCAAGAAAGCGGUAGGGGA
rnacentral:rRNA from 1 species